CCACCUUGAGAUGAAAACUGAAAGUGUC
rnacentral:sRNA from 1 species